GUGCUAGCUUCGGCAGCACAUAUACUAAAAUUGAAAGGAUACAGAGAAGAUUAGCAUGGCCCCUGUGCAAGGAUGACAUGCAAAUUAGUGAAGUGUUCCAUAUUUUC
ensembl:snRNA U6 U6 spliceosomal RNA